GGGCCUGUAGCUCAGAGGAUUA
rnacentral:tRNA from 20 species